GAUUUCGUUGGCUUCUUUGGACUGAGUUUUGUUUCAUCUUUCGGUUGGGCUUUUAUAAAACUUUUUAUCGAGCCCAUUGAAGUAUUAAGGCUUCUUUUAUCUUCUCACUUUUUCCGUUCAUAUGUUAGCAUUUGAUUUUUCCAGAACCUAAAGCAAUAACCUCAAUGUAACAUCUCAACCGUGCAUUAAAUGAACCUUGCAUUAAACGUCUCAACCUUUGUUUUAGAUCAAAGCCAAUGAAU
rnacentral:lncRNA from 1 species